UGCAACUCGACUGCAUGAAGCUGGAAUCGCUAGUAAUCGCGAAUCAGAAUGUCGCGGUGAAUACGUUCCCGGGUCUUGUACACACCGCCCGUCACACCAUGGGAGCCGACAACGCCCGAAGUCAGUGACCUAACCGAGAGGGAGGAGCUGCCGAAGGCGGGGUUGGUAACUGGGGUGAAGUCGUAACAAGGUAUC
rnacentral:rRNA from 1 species